AUUGAACGCUGGCGGCAGGCCUAUCACAUGCAAGUCGAGCGGAUGAAGGGAGCUUGCUCCUGGAUUCAGCGGCGGACGGGUGAGUAAUGCCUAGGAAUCUGCCUGGUAGUGGGGGAUAACGUCCGGAAACGGGCGCUAAUACCGCAUACGCCCUGAGGGAGAAAGUGGGGGAUCUUCGGACCUCACGCUAUCAGAUGAGCCUAGGUCGGAUUAGCUAGUUGGUGGGGUAAAGGCCUACCAAGGCGACGAUCCGUAACUGGUCUGAGAGGAUGAUCAGUCACACUGGAACUGAGACACGGUCCAGACUCCUACGGGAGGCAGCAGUGGGGAAUAUUGGACAAUGGGCGAAAGCCUGAUCCAGCCAUGCCGCGUGUGUGAAGAAGGUCUUCGGAUUGUAAAGCACUUUAAGUUGGGAGGAAGGGCAGUAAGUUAAUACCUUGCUGUUUUGACGUUACCAACAGAAUAAGCACCGGCUAACUUCGUG
rnacentral:rRNA from 1 species